AUAAAUGCAAUGAGAAAGAAUAGUACACUUGCUGUUGGCUUUCAGAGAGUUUGUGGGUGGUGCGAACAAACAGCCAGGCAUUUGGAAUGGACUUUUGAGCCCCGGGGAGGAAACAGCAAGUAUGUCCCGGCGUAUGCCAUACGUUAGAUUGGCUCCCCUUUACCAAGGGGACUAAGCGGCUUGAAAAAGCAAUUAGGGUGGCACCACGGACCAUUCGUCCCUAUC
rnacentral:ncRNA from 1 species